rnacentral:rRNA from 1 species
GACGAACGCUGGCGGCGUGCUUAACACGUGCAAGUCGAGCGGUAAGGCCCCUCCGGGGGCACACGAGCGGCGAACGGGUGAGUAACACGUGAGCAACCUGCCCCUGACUCCGGGAUAAGCGGUGGAAACGCCGUCUAAUACCGGAUACGACCCUCCGGCUCAUGCCGUGGGGGAGGAAAGUUUUUUCGGUUGGGGAUGGGCUCGCGGCCUAUCAGCUUGUUGGGGGGGUAAAGGCCUACCAAGGCGAUUACGGGUAGCCGGCCUGAGAGGGCGGCCGGCCACACUGUGGCUGAGACACGGCCCCGGCCCCUGCGGGGGGCAGCUGUGGGGAAUUUUGCGCAAUGGUCGAAGGCCUGACGCAGCGACGCCGCGGGGGGGAUGACGGCCUUCGGGUUGUAAACUCCUUUUACCACUCACGCAGGCCCGGAGUGUUCUUCGGGUUGACGGUAGGUGGGGAAUAAGGACCGGCUAACUACGUGCCAGCCGCCGCCGUAA